GUGAGGUCUCACGAGAGCAGAUCUGAGGGGCAAAAUCACCUCCCUCCAUCUGCUGGCCACGUUCCUUUUGAUGCAGCCCAGGAUACAUUUGGUUUUCUGAGUUGCAAGUGC